rnacentral:rRNA from 1 species
ACCCGCUGAAUUUAAGCAUAUCAAUAAGCGGAGGAAAAGAAACCAACAGGGAUUGCCCUAGUAACGGCGAGUGAAGCGGCAACAGCUCAAAUUUGAAAUCUGGCUCUUUUAGAGUCCGAGUUGUAAUUUGCAGAGGGCGCUUUGGCUUUGGCAGCGGUCCAAGUUCCUUGGAACAGGACGUCACAGAGGGUGAGAAUCCCGUACGUGGUCGCUGGCUAUUGCCGUGUAAAGCCCCUUCGACGAGUCGAGUUGUUUGGGAAUGCAGCUCUAAAUGGGAGGUACAUUUCUUCUAAAGCUAAAUAUUGGCCAGAGACCGAUAGCGCACAAGUAGAGUGAUCGAAAGAUGAAAAGCACUUUGGAAAGAGAGUCAAACAGCACGUGAAAUUGUUGAAAGGGAAGCGCUUGCAGCCAGACUUGCUUACAGUUGCUCAUCCGGGUUUCUACCCGGUGCACUCUUCUGUAGGCAGGCCAGCAUCAGUUUGGGCGGUAGGAUAAAGGUCUCUGUCACGUACCUCCUUUCGGGGAGGCCUUAUAGGGGAGACGACAUACUACCAGCCUGGACUGAGGUCCGCGCAUCUGCUAGGAUGCUGGCGUAAUGGCUGUAAGCGGCCCGUCUUGAAACACGGACCAGGAG